rfam:Triticum aestivum genome assembly, contig: Triticum_aestivum_CS42_TGACv1_scaffold_643764_T_4AS-0.183854_4AL-0.138161
AAAGUACUCCCUCCGUCCCAAAAUUCUUGUCUUAGAUUUGUCUAGAUACGGAUGUAUCAAGUCACAUUUUAGUAUUAGAUACAUCCGUAUCUAGACAAAUCUAAGACAAGAAAUUUGGUACAGAGGGAGUAGUUG